UACGGAGGGGGCAAGCGUUGUUCGGAAUUACUGGGCGUAAAGGGCGCGUAGGCGGAACAUUAAGUUAGGGGUGAAAGGCCUGGGCUCAACCUGGGAACGGCCUCUAAGACUGAUGAUCUCGAGUCCGGAAGAGGAUGGCGGAAUUCCCAGUGUAGAGGUGAAAUUCGUAGAUAUUGGGAAGAACACCGGUGGCGAAGGCGGCCAUCUGGUCCGGCACUGACGCUGAGGCGCGAAAGCGUGGGGAGCAAACAGGAUUAGAAACCCCCGUAGUCC
rnacentral:rRNA from 1 species